UUUCACGCAGCUCUUUUUGAAUAUAAGCACAAGGUAAAACACGAAUAAUAAGUGCAUCCUAUCGAAUUAGUCGUUUGAAUGUUAGUGACAGGGCCCUGACUCCACUUCCCACAGUGCAGCGCGGCUGCGGGGGUCAUGUGAUGUGUGUGUGUGUCUCUGCGCCGCUGGCUCGUGUCUCAGUCAGACCGAUCUGUGUGAGGAUGUGCUGUGGCUCUCUGUGUGCGCUCUGCUCGGAUCAUGCGGGACACCGACCAGAGGAGCUGCUGCCCCUCACAAACGUGUGGAAUAAGAGCGCUUUCCAGGUGAAGCACUGACAGCAGAAACAGAAACAAAUGCACCGGCAACGUUACUUCUCACGCGCUGGAUUACCGUGUAACGUCUCAGUGACCGCGGAGUAACGCUGACGUUACUUCAUUACAGCUGAACCUGGACGAGGUGGAAACCAGGAUGCCAGAUGUGAUGCUUCACAGAUUUUCAAGGUAUUCCCUUCUCUGGUGUCUCACCAAUGUCAGGUCGUGUCUGAAGAGACGUGUGGAUGAGUGUGACACCGCUGAUUUCUCCACAUCAUGGAUUAUCAGAGAUAUCUGGAGAUGCUCGUUUCAUAAGUGGAUUUAAGACAUUUCCUUGUACUAUGCUUUGACUGCAGAUACUGGAUUACUCGGACUGUUUUCUACUUUACGUCAUUUGUUUUCUUCUGAUUGGUCAGUACGAUGUUCCAGUCAUGAUGCUCUAUCGAUCUAAUAAAAAUAGUUUUAUUAUAAAUAGUGCUAGUAUUUCAAUAAAAUGGCAAUGUUGUUUGUAAAGAUAUAAGGCACUGUUGUGUUGAGCACUGCUGUGCUAUAUUGUAGAUGAUUAUAUCACAAUCUAACACAACCCACUGUACCCUAUUGUUACCUUUUAAAGGGAUACUCCACUCCAAAAUGAAAAUGUUGUCAUUAAUCACUUACCCGCAUGUCGUUCCA
ensembl:lncRNA